UACGAAGGGUGCAAGCGUUACUCGGAAUUACUGGGCGUAAAGCGUGCGUAGGUGGUUCGUUAAGUCUGAUGUGAAAGCCCUGGGCUCAACCUGGGAAUGGCAUUGGAAACUGGCGACCUAGAGUGCGGUAGAGGGUAGUGGAAUUCCCGGUGUAGCAGUGAAAUGCGUAGAGAUCGGGAGGAACAUCCGUGGCGAAGGCGACUACCUGGACCAGCACUAACACUGAGGCACGAAAGCGUGGGGAGCAAACAGG
rnacentral:rRNA from 1 species